GGAUCAUGCAUGAAUAUCGCCUUGCCAAUGUCGAUAGAUCUGCUGGCAAGAAAAACAACCUCAGGCUUGAUGACUGGGUAUUAUGCCGAAUAUACAACAAGAAAGGAAGCAUAGAGAAGCACGAUCCUGUUCCUGUGGAUAGAAAAUUGACAAAAUAUCCAGAAAUUGAGGACAAAAAACCCAACGUUUUGAUGUCUGGGUAUAAUGGAAUAGCACCAACAAAGUUGGCAUCAUCGUUUGCGAACUAUAAUGACUUAUCAGUACAUAUGGAUACAUCUGAUUCCAUACCCAGGUUGCAUACGGACUCAAGUAGCUCAGAGCAUAUGCAUUCACCUGAUGUCACGUGUGAGAAGGAGGUCCAGAGUGAACCCAAAUGGAAUGAGUUAGACAUUAAUGGCUUCGAUUUUGGUUUCAAUUACGUGGAUGGGUUUCAAGAUGAUCCUUUUGCUUCCCAAAUUCAGUUACAAAUGGACCAGCUCUCACCCCUGCAAGAUAUGUUUAUGUAUUUACAUAAGCCAUUUUGAUGAUCAAGGCAUCACUCCAUCAACCCAA
rnacentral:misc_RNA from 1 species